rnacentral:tRNA from 1 species
GCUUCUAAAAAAUAAUAGCUUAUUUGUUGGUCUUAGGAACCAAAAACCCUUGGUGCAAAUCCAAGUAGAAGUU